rnacentral:rRNA from 1 species
UCGCAACGGGAGUGUUUACUAUCUUUGCCGGCGAGCGGCGGACGGGUGAGUAAUGCCUAGGGAUCUGCCCAGUCGAGGGGGAUAACAGUUGGAAACGACUGCUAAUACCGCAUACGCCCUACGGGGGAAAGGAGGGGACCUUCGGGCCUUCCGCGAUUGGAUGAACCUAGGUGGGAUUAGCUAGUUGGUGAGGUAAUGGCUCACCAAGGCGACGAUCCCUAGCUGUUCUGAGAGGAUGAUCAGCCACACUGGGACUGAGACACGGCCCAGACUCCUACGGGAGGCAGCAGUGGGGAAUAUUGCACAAUGGGGGAAACCCUGAUGCAGCCAUGCCGCGUGUGUGAAGAAGGCCUUCGGGUUGUAAAGCACUUUCAGUAGGGAGGAAAGGUAAUAGCUUAAUACGCUGUUGCUGUGACGUUACCUACAGAAGAAGGACCGGCUAACUCCGUGCCAGCAGCCGCGGUAAUACGGAGGGUCCGAGCGUUAAUCGGAAUUACUGGGCGUAAAGCGUGCGCAGGCGGUUUGUUAAGCGAGAUGUGAAAGCCCCGGGCUCAACCUGGGAAUUGCAUUUCGAACUGGCGAACUAGAGUCUUGUAGAGGGGGGUAGAAUUCCAGGUGUAGCGGUGAAAUGCGUAGAGAUCUGGAGGAAUACCGGUGGCGAAUGCGGCCCCCUGGACAAAGACUGACGCUCAUGCACGAAAGCGUGGGGAGCAAACAGGAUUAGAUACCCUGGUAGUCCACGCCGUAAACGAUGUCUACUCGGAGUUCGGUGUCUUGAACACUGGGCUCUCAAGCUAACGCAUUAUUUACACCGCCUGGGGAGUACGGCCGCAAGGUUAAAACUCAAUGAAUUGACGGGGGCCCGCACAAGCGGCUGGAGCAUGUGGCUUAAUUCGAUGCAACGCGAAGAACCUUACCUACUCUUGACAUCGAGAGAAUUCGCUAGAGAUAGCUUAUUGCCUUCGCGAACUCUGAGACAGUGCUGCAUGGCUGUCGUCAGCUCGUGUCGUGAAUGUUGGGUAAAGUCCCGCAACGAGCGCACCCCCUAUCCG